rnacentral:lncRNA from 1 species
UAAUAACACUUUUGCCAGUACCAAAAACAUGUAAACUAGCGUAGUAACUCGUACGAUGCGACGGAUAGAUAAUUAGAGAAAAUAUAGAAAAUAUGGAUAAAAAAAGAAAAGAAAAGAAAACAGCGAUAAAAAAAGUGAUAAUGAGGGAUGAGAUUUAUUUUGCCGUUGAACGAAAAUAACAGCCGAAGGAAGAGGAAGAGGAAGAGGAAGGACUUUAGCUGAUUCGGGUGGAGCAUACAUUCAAAAAUGAAGGAAAAGUUGGCAUGUGGCAACUUUAGAAGAAAUAAUGUAUAAAUAAAUAAAUUAAAUAAAAUAAAAAAUAUAUAUGAUUGAUAAUUGAAGUUUUUUUUCUCGAAUUAUUAUAAUUAAUUAACAUGUAAUGCAAGUUGGCCGAAUAAUGAAUGAUAUGAAUCAAUUGGUCUGGUUCGGUCUAAUAAAGCAGACUGGUUUAAGCAAAGAAAGAGGGCACCGGUUUGGUUCAGGCAAACAAAAAACAGGGAACAUGAGCCGGUUUAGUGUAGAGGUCUCACUCAACCAUGUUUCGUUCAAGCAAAAAAAGAUGAAAUUAUUUGGAGGACUUGAGCCGGUUCAGGAUGGGACUCAUAUUCGACAAUUCGGUUCGGUUCAACUAAAGGAAAAGAACCGGUGGAGCCCACACCCAACAACAUUGAAGCUUGUGUUGCCAUGUGGCAAGUUUUUUGAGAAAUAAUGUAAAGUAAUAGAAUAGAUUACUUAGGCAAUAGUUCAUCCACAAAAAAUUGUUGGCACUCUUAUUUUCGUGCAUAAUAAAAGUGAAGAUUAUGAGAAAUAAAUUAAAUUGGUGCAGUAAGUAGGGGUGUCAACAAACACGAGCGAGUUAAGUCCGGCUCGUGUACAGCUUGUUUAAUAAUGAGCCGAACAUGAGCUGGUUUGUUUAAAUAUCGAGCCAAAAAUUUCGGCUCGUGUUCGGCUCAUUAAGUUAAAAAAAUUUUAUUUUACUUUUAGCAAAAUUAAAUUUAUAAAAUCUUACCUAUUAGACUUUGAUUAAAUGCUUAAAACUUUACAUAUAAAUGCCUUUUUUUUAUAAUUGAGCUCGAUUUUAUAUUUUUAUUUUGCUAAAAGUAAAAUAAUAAAAAUAUAUACAUUAGAGUAGGUCUUGUGUGCUAUUAGGAGCACGGAGGUCUCCGUGCUCUUAAGCCGUUUUUUAUGAUGGGACUUUUGAAUCGACGAUCGGCUCCGUUAAAUUUGAUCUAACGUAUUUGAAAUAUCUAAAAAAUAAUUUUUACUAAUUUUUAAUAUCAUUUACCUAAUGAUCGAAAGGAUUCAAAAUCAACAAUUUUUAUUGGUUGAUGUAUGCCGUUUGUAAGUUUAACAGUGUAGAAGUAUUCAAAUCAGGUAAAAUUUAGAUAGAAAAUUUUUUAUACUAUUUACAACAAGAUCAACAUCUUUGAUCGAAAAUUUUAAUGCUACAUUAUAAUUUUGUGAGAUUUUUAUUUUCAACUGUUGAUUUUGAGUCAUCUCGAUCACUAGAUAAAUAAUAUCGAAAAACCGCUAGAUUAAGUCUAGCGGAGCCGAUCGUCAAUUCGAAAGUUAUGUCAUCAAAAACGACUUAGAAGCACGGAAACCUCCGUGCUCCAAAUAGCACACAAGACCACUCUAUAUAUUAUAUAUAAAAUUAUUUAUUUAUAUAUAUAAAAAAUAUAUAUAAAUAUAAAUUAAAUAAAUUAUAUAACUAUAAAAUAUAUAUAUUUAAGCUGUUAUUAAGUCGAACACGAGUGAGCUAACCCUAACUUGUGUUCGGCUCAUUUAUUAAACGAUGGAGAGAUGUGAGGUUGAGAUGAUAGUGGUAGGUGGUGGUAGGUGGAAUAGUGUUUGAUUCAAGGGCUAUUAGUAAUCAAAGAGUAGAUCCAAGGGAUAAAAACCUAAAAGCACCAAGGGCAUGAUACGUAUAAAAGUAUUCUAGCUCAAUUCUAUAUAUAUAUAUAUAUAUAGAGUAGGGCUGCUGUGCUCUCAGGAGCACGGAGGCCUCCGUGCUCCUGAGCCGUUUUCGAUGAUGGAAUUUUCGAAUCGACGAUCGGCUCCGUUAGACUUGAUCUAGCGCAUUUGAAGUUUCUAGAAAAUAAUUUUUGCGAUUUUUCGAUAUCAUUUACCUAAUAAUCGAAAGGAUUCAAAAUCAAUAAUUUUUAACGGCUGAAAAUAAAAAUCCUAUAAAAAGUGGUGAUAUAGCACUAAAAUUUUCGAUCAGAAAUAUAGAUCUUGUUGUAGAUAGUAUAAAGAAUUUUCUAUCAAAAUUUCAUCUUAUUUGAAUACUUCUACACCGUUAAACUUGAAAACGGCAAAUAUCAACCAUUAAAAAUUAUGGAUUUUGAAUCCUUUCGAUCAUUAGGUAAAUGAUAUCAAAAAAU